AGUCAGAGUGUAGCUUUCUCCUGGACUCAGUGAUUGGCCAGAGGUGGUUACAUGCCUCAGAAAGUACCAAUCCCUGUCAUUCCAUAGGAUUUUAUGUCUGCAUGCUGCACGAGAUGGCACGAUUCAGUUUCUGCAGGUCAGAACUUCAGACAGGGCAUAAUGGGAUGGAUUGUCCCUGUUCUAGGAUGACCAUGAUAUCAGCUGGAAGACUUCACAGCUGGGGACUAGAAUCAUCUGAAGACUCAUCCACCCACAUGUUUGGUUGUUGAUGCUGGCUCUCAGGCAAGGAGAAGGAAGAAUUAAAUGAAGUUGGUGCUCACUUACUCGUUCAACAUUUACUGAGCCAUCCACCAUUACAGGCCCUGUGCCAGACAUGGGUGAUGUGUGGAAACACACAAGCAGAUCAAAUCCACACAGAGCUUACAAUCUAUAUUGACCAAGUGGAAUUCUGUUCUGCUACCUUUUAGCUCUGUGGCCUUGGAACUCCUGGCACAAAGUAUGAAAUGAAAUGAAAUCCGGCCUCACGAAAUGGAGCCAGAUCUUUAACAAAACCUAAGGAGUCCAGGUGGGGAUCUAAUAGGAAAUCCUUGCUUAAGAAAAAAACCUCCUGUAUUAAAAACCCACCAUGUGCCAGGUA